GGGUGACGAACUUGGGUAUGCCCCUCGGAGGGACGAAGUGUUCAUCAGAACACAUACGCUCAAGAAAGGACCAAACAAAGGACAACACGUGCCAGAGGCAGCUCCAAUUAUUAGUGAACUCCUACGGGCAGCUAAUGUCCACCCUGACUGGAAGGAAAAGAGUUUGAAAGAAGGUGAUCUAUUUGCACGAGUUGUUGGAAUGAAAGAGCCAAGGGGUCGUGUUCGUGUGUUAGGUCUAGGGCCAACACCUCAAGAUGUGGGCACACCGGAUACACGGGGUAAAGUGAGCACAAGGGUUCUAGUUGAAAUGGUAGCACGUCGAGAAGCUGAACACCGCAUGAGCACUUUGGAGGAGAAGAUGCAACAAAUGCAGCAACAAAUGAACAAAAUGCAAGAAAUUAUGGCAGCUUCACAAGGAGGGCAUAAUUUGGAGGCUCCUAGCUCGCAACAUGGUUCUAAUUCUCGACGAAACUCAAUAGAUGAAAUUGAGGAAGAAAUUGAUGGCGAAGAUGGCGAUGAAGAGGAUGGUGAAGAUGACAAUGUUCAGAGAAGGAAAUUUGUUGCAAAUCCAAGAAACGCUUCAACCUGACAAGAUGAAAGCCUUAUUGGGAUGGAUGUGCUUCUUUAUGCAUGGACUGGUCCUGAAACUCCUGUUGCUAAGGCAACAGUUCUCUCAGUCGAUCCAGACACAACUGUGGGUGGGGAGCCCCUUGGACCUGGUACUUAUGAGGUUAUUGUGAAUGUUGCCAUUAAAAGGGAUACUAUUCU